rnacentral:rRNA from 1 species
UAAUACGGAGGUGGCUAGCGUUGUUCGGAAUUACUGGGCGUAAAGGGCGCGUAGGCGGCUUUGCAAGUCGGAUGUGAAAGCCCCGGGCUCAACUCGGGAAUUGCAUCCGAAACUGCUUUGCUUGAGUCCUGGAGGGGGUAGUGGAAUUCCCAGUGUAGCGGUGAAAUGCGUAGAUAUUAGGAGGAACACCUGUGGCGAAGGCGGCUACCUGGACAGUGACUGACGCUGAGGCGCGAAAGCUAGGGGAGCAAACC